CAAUGAAGAAAUUCAUCAUAUACCUUGUGUGCAAACACUGAAAAACGUUUGGGGAUGAAAAAAACAAAUCUUGUUUCUAUCCCCAACAUCACUAUACACACAAUCAAAUUUGAAUUGAAAAAUAUCUGAAUAAACUAAAAACUAUAA
rnacentral:misc_RNA from 1 species